AGUGAACGCUGGCGGUAGGCCUAACACAUGCAAGUCGAACGGCAGCACAGGAGAGCUUGCUCUCUGGGUGGCGAGUGGCGGACGGGUGAGGAAUACAUCGGAAUCUACUCUGUCGUGGGGGGUAACGUAGGGAAACUUACGCUAAUACCGCAUACGACCUACGGGUGAAAGCAGGGGAUCUUCGGACCUUGCGCGAUUGAAUGAGCCGAUGUCGGAUUAGCUAGUUGGCGGGGUAAAGGCCCACCAAGGCGACGAUCCGUAGCUGGUCUGAGAGGAUGAUCAGCCACACUGGAACUGAGACACGGUCCAGACUCCUACGGGAGGCAGCAGUGGGGAAUAUUGGACAAUGGGCGCAAGCCUGAUCCAGCCAUACCGCGUGGGUGAAGAAGGCCUUCGGGUUGUAAAGCCCUUUUGUUGGGAAAGAAAUCCAGCUGGUUAAUACCCGGUUGGGAUGACGGUACCCAAAGAAUAAGCACCGGCUAACUUCGUGCCAGCAGCCGCGGUAAUACGAAGGGUGCAAGCGUUACUCGGAAUUACUGGGCGUAAAGCGUGCGUAGGUGGUUAUUUAAGUCCGUUGUGAAAGCCCUGGGCUCAACCUGGGAACUGCAGUGGAUACUGGAUGACUAGAAUGUGGUAGAGGGUAGCGGAAUUCCUGGUGUAGCAGUGAAAUGCGUAGAGAUCAGGAGGAACAUCCAUGGCGAAGGCAGCUACCUGGACCAACAUUGACACUGAGGCACGAAAGCGUGGGGGAGCAAACAGG
rnacentral:rRNA from 1 species